CUGAUCCCAACCCGCUGCCGCUGCACCCCGCAACCCCCGGAGUUACCCCCGGCCUCACCCUACAUCCUUAACUUCCACUUUGCUGGGGUCCAGCUCCACGUACUUCUUCUCCUCAAACACCUUGUUGAUGAUGGGGCCCAGGACGCCGUGCAGGUACUGCAUCCCGGCCACCUGGGGACCACCGCAGGUCACAUUGAUCCUGUCUCCCCCAGUCCCACUCCAGCUGCCCACCUUCUCCCGGCAGCCGCCCUUGCACCGUUUGCCUGCCGUAUCCGCCCAGGAGGGGGCCAGGUACACAUGCAGGGCAAACUGUUUAUUCAUGAAUGAAUGAAUGAGUGAGUGAAUGAAUGACUAGAAUUCUUAACCUUAAAGGGCUCUGAAUAUGGAGAUAGAACACUGGAGUCGAAGUCCCAGCCCCCUCUGUCGCUCUCUCUGAAGCUCAGUGACUACUCCAGUAUUAAAUGAUGCAUGUAUAAAGUUAGUCACUCUAUCAUUAUCUGUAAUAGCAGAUGAUUGGAAAUGACCUAAAUGUCUCAUAAUAAGGAACUAGUUUUAAAAAGCAUGUUCCAUUCAUGCCUUGAAAUACUAUACAUUGAAAAAAUAAAAAUUGUAUAAAUAUGUGAAAAAAACAGUGUGUAUAUUAUACUACGACUUACUUCUUUGUGCAUAGAUGUUCUACAAGGCUAUAUAAAAGAUUGUUAAUUAUGGUUGUCUCUUGGGAGGGGGAGUUUAGAUUGUAUAAUGGGGUAGAAGGCUGACUUUUCGUUGUUUACUAUUCUGCACCUUCUGGAUUUUGUACUAUGUAUAUAUUUUAUAUAUUAAAAUAGCUUUAUAUAAAUAAAACUAGCCCCAUGGCUGAAUAAAUUUUAUUACAAUUUUCUUAUGAUUCCCUGAUACUCUGUUCCUUAACU
rnacentral:lncRNA from 1 species